rfam:Schistosoma haematobium scaffold383_1, whole genome shotgun sequence.
AGCUUUCUGUAUCUGUGCUGAGAUUUCGUCAGACACCAGACCACAAGAGCUGAUGAUAUUCUCAAGAUAAGUGAAGCG